UCAGGACGAACGCUGGCGGCGUGCGUUAACACAUAGCAAGUCGAACGGAGUAAAGCGCUGGUCUGAUGUCAGCUUGCUGAUGGAUUUCCUUGCUUACUUAGUGGCGGACGGGUGAGUAACGCGUGAGUAACCUGCCCUCGAGUGGGGAAUAACGUUCUGAAAAGAACGCUAAUACCGCAUAACAUACAGAAGCCGCAUGGUUUUGUAUCAAAGAUUUAUCGCUCGAGGAUGGACUCGCGUCCGAUUAGCUUGUUGGUGAGGUAACGGCUCACCAAGGCGACGAUCGGUAGCCGGACUGAGAGGUUGAACGGCCACAUUUGGGACUGAGACACGGCCCAGACUCCUACGGGAGGCAGCAGUGGGGAUAUUGCGCAAUGGGGAAACCCUGACGCAGCAACGCAGCGUGGAGGAUGACGGUUUUCGGAUUGUAAACUCCUUUUAUAGGGGACGAAAAGACGGUACCCUAUGAAUAAGCUCCGGCUAACUACGUGCC
rnacentral:rRNA from 1 species